rnacentral:rRNA from 1 species
CCUACGGGGGGCAGCAGUGAGGAAUAUUGGUCAAUGGACGAGAGUCUGAACCAGCCAAGUAGCGUGAAGGAUGACUGCCCUAUGGGUUGUAAACUUCUUUUAUAUGGGAAUAAAAUGUUCCACGUGUGGGAUUUUGUAUGUACCAUAUGAAUAAGGAUCGGCUAACUCCGUGCCAGCAGCCGCGGUAAUACGGAGGAUCCGAGCGUUAUCCGGAUUUAUUGGGUUUAAAGGGAGCGUAGGUGGAUUGUUAAGUCAGUUGUGAAAGUUUGCGGCUCAACCGUAAAAUUGCAGUUGAAACUGGCAGUCUUGAGUACAGUAGAGGUGGGCGGAAUUCGUGGUGUAGCGGUGAAAUGCUUAGAUAUCACGAAGAACUCCGAUUGCGAAGGCAGUUCACUGGACUGCAACUGACACUGAGGCUCGAAAGUGUGGGUAUCAAACAGGAUUAGAGACCCCAGUAGUC